rnacentral:rRNA from 1 species
ACUCCUACGGGAGGCAGCAGUGGGGAAUAUUGGACAAUGGGCGCAAGCCUGAUCCAGCCAUGCCGCGUGAGUGAUGAAGGCCCUAGGGUUGUAAAGCUCUUUUGUGCGGGAAGAUAAUGACUGUACCGCAAGAAUAAGCCCCGGCUAACUUCGUGCCAGCAGCCGCGGUAAU